GACGAACGCUGGCGGCGUGCUUAACACAUGCAAGUCGAACGGAAGGGCCCUGCUUUUGUGGGGUGCUCGAGUGGCGAACGGGUGAGUAACACGUGAGUAACCUGCCCUUGACUUUGGGAUAACUUCAGGAAACUGGGGCUAAUACCGGAUAGGAGCUCCUGCUGCAUGGUGGGGGUUGGAAAGUUUCGGCGGUUGGGGAUGGACUCGCGGCUUAUCAGCUUGUUGGUGGGGUAGUGGCCUACCAAGGCUUUGACGGGUAGCCGGCCUGAGAGGGUGACCGGCCACAUUGGGACUGAGAUACGGCCCAGACUCCUACGGGAGGCAGCAGUGGGGAAUAUUGCACAAUGGGCGGAAGCCUGAUGCAGCAACGCCGCGUGCGGGAUGACGGCCUUCGGGUUGUAAACCGCUUUCGCCUGUGACGAAGCGUGAGUGACGGUAAUGGGUAAAGAAGCACCGGCUAACUACGUG
rnacentral:rRNA from 1 species